AGGAAUUGUGCCCGAAAGACAAGGAUUACUUUGAUAGAGUAAAUAAUAGAGGUUCAACCCCUCUCACUUCCUU
rnacentral:tRNA from 1 species